GUCAUGGAGAGUAUUCAGUCGCAUUCUUAUAUUUGUCUAAAUGGCACCCAAUAAAUACUUCCCAUAGCCAAGAUUUUUGUCUUAGCUUGGAAACAAAGGAAAAGAAAUGAGACCUUUGGAGCGGAGGAGGAAAACAGAGGAAGAAUUCGCCCACUGAAAAAUCUAACUUCAGGAAAGCUAAAAUUAAUGUUUCACUCAUCAAGCGACAAGAAUUAAGGACAUUGUAAUAGGUCAAUAAAGAGUAGAGACUGGGAGGUGAGAUCCAGCCAGCUGGAUGCUGAGAACAUGAGGAUAAUGUUGCAACCCUGGGAUACUGGCACUGGAAGAAACUCUGGAAAUCACCUGGCCGUAGUCGUUCGUUUUAUGGAAAUGGAGGCUCAGAGAAAUAAACUGAAUUGGUCAAAGACACACAGACAAUUUUUGGAAGAGCUGGUCCUAGAACUUGGGUUACUUCUAUGAUGAUAUGAUUUCUAGUUUUUGUAAGUUUCUCCUUGGGUAGGUGCAUCUGGGUUUUCAGAUACAUGAUGAAUGAAAUCAUUAAAGAAAUAAAGCAUUUUUACUCCUUGUAA